rnacentral:tRNA from 1 species
AAGAUACUAGUAAAACUAUUACACCUCCUUGUCGAGGAAGAGUUGCAGGUUAAACCCCUACGUGUCUUA